GCGGAUGUAGUUCAAAGGCAGAACACAAGCUUCCCAAGCUUGGAAUGGGGGUUCGAUUCCCCUCAUCCGCU
rnacentral:tRNA from 1 species